ACGUGGGUAACCUACCUAUAAGACUGGGAUAACUCCGGGAAACCGGGGCUAAUACCGGAUAAUAUUUUGAACCGCAUGGUUCAAUAGUGAAAGACGGUUUCGGCUGUCACUUAUAGAUGGACCCGCGCCGUAUUAGCUAGUUGGUAAGGUAACGGCUUACCAAGGCGACGAUACGUAGCCGACCUGAGAGGGUGAUCGGCCACACUGGAACUGAGACACGGUCCAGACUCCUACGGGAGGCAGCAGUAGGGAAUCUUCCGCAAUGGGCGAAAGCCUGACGGAGCAACGCCGCGUGAGUGAUGAAGGUCUUCGGAUCGUAAAACUCUGUUGUUAGGGAAGAACAAAUUUGUUAGUAACUGAACAAGUCUUGACGGUACCUAACCAGAAAGCCACGGCUAACUACGUGCCAGCAGCCGCGGUAAUACGUAGGUGGCAAGCGUUAUCCGGAAUUAUUGGGCGUAAAGCGCGCGUAGGCGGUUUCUUAAGUCUGAUGUGAAAGCCCACGGCUCAACCGUGGAGGGUCAUUGGAAACUGGGAAACUUGAGUGCAGAAGAGGAGAGUGGAAUUCCAUGUGUAGCGGUGAAAUGCGCAGAGAUAUGGAGGAACACCAGUGGCGAAGGCGGCUCUCUGGUCUGUAACUGACGCUGAUGUGCGAAAGCGUGGGGAUCAAACAGGAUUAGAUACCCUGGUAGUCCACGCCGUAAACGAUGAGUGCUAAGUGUUAGGGGGUUUCCGCCCCUUAGUGCUGCAGCUAACGCAUUAAGCACUCCGCCUGGGGAGUACGACCGCAAGGUUGAAAC
rnacentral:rRNA from 2 species